CACCUGGGGGCUUCCCAGAGGAGUACAGCUAACUCCAGGGGAACCACAUGGAACGUUGUCUGCAUCAACAUCCUUAUCGCGACCAACUGCCCAAGGACUGCCAUGUACAGCACAGCCUCUCGAUAUGUCCCAGAGCAGACUCACACUCUUAGGCUGCCCUAAAAAUGGCCAAGAUUCCAUGGAUCAAACAGCAGAAGAAUGCAGCCCGUCCCAAGGAAGGUUACUCGACUCAAGCUACCAACCUAUUCAGCCAGAAGAAUUCCUUUUCAGAAGCAGAUUGGGAAACCAAUUUUUUUUCCCCUAUGGAACCAUCAAUUUCACCUUUCCAAGAUGACUCUGACGAAAGUUGCUAACCCACUCUUCAGAACCUUUGAAAUUCAUCUUUCUAAUUGAAGGGAGGUUUUCCAGUGGGGAAAAAAUGGCUCAUUCGAAAUAAGAAUAAAUGUGUUCGGCGUCGGCGUCGCUCCGCGCGGGGGCUCCAGGCCGAAGUCUCGCCGCGGGCUGCGAGUCAAAUGCCGGUGGUUAAGGGCGCUCGAGAGGCCUCUACCCGUUUGGCGUUGGCUCUGGCGUCUGGGUCGUUGUGUCCUGACAACCGCUCAGGUAACCGUUUCCUAGACAGCGGGUGCGGCUACUUUAGCCCUGAGCGUGCUCUGCGGCUGCCUGCGGGUCUCAGCUAGUGUCCGACCCCUCUCUUCGCGGACUCCACGCCGAGCAGCCACCCUGAGCCAAGAGCCGGAAGUCCCGGCAUUGGCGGCCUGGACAGCCUCGCACCGGCCAAUCAAGGAGAACCUCAAGAACAACUUCCUCUAUGACUUCCUCUACGGCGGUGUCGGCCUAACAGCUCCACGGGAGUGUGGACGAGGAGCUGAGCAAAAAAAUUCCAGAAGUGAGAUGAAAUGAACAUCCUGGCGACAUAUCAUCCAGCAGACAAAGACUAUGGUUUAUGAAAAUAGAUGAACCAAGCACUUCUUCCCAUCGUAUUAUAGGUGAUGAUGAAGAUGUAUGUAGUGAUACAGAGACCACUGAAACCAUGGAACGAGAUAUCUUAGCUAAGAAAUUCGCUGCUGCUUGAAGGCUCGGAGCCAAAGUAUAGGGUUCAGGAAUAAGAUAGCAGCAGAGAGGAGGAUAGUGACCUCUCACCUGAAGAACAAGAAAAAAAGCGACAAUUUGAAAUGAAAAGGAAGUUUCACUACAAUGAAGGACUCAAUAUCAUCAAACUAGCUAGACAAUUUCAAAAGACCUAAAUGAUGACGAAGAUGAAGAAAUGUUAGAGACUGUAGAUGGAGAAAGCAUGAAUACGGAAAAAUCAAAUCAAGGAUCUACUGCAAGUGACCAACAGCAAAAGAAAUCACGAAGUUCAUAGAAGAGAUUUGUUCAACGCUGCAAUUGUUAGAUAUAAACCCUGUUACUAUAAUGCAUUGCUUCUUGUUCUCCACAAUUCAUGACUGAAGUACCAAAAUGCAUACCAGUUAUUAUAUAUUGCCAAGAAUUAAAUGAUAACCUUAUAGAGACUGAUAAUGCCUAAAAUAUAUUCUUGUGCAUAGUACUUUACCACAAAUACAGUGUAAUAUCAUCAGUCCAAAACUGCAUUACUUUUGUAAAAAACACUGGUUAAUUUGUAUAAGAUAUCAUAUAACUUUUUAUGCUUUAGAGGUUAAACAAUGUCUUUGGGGGGGAACAUUUAUUGUCAUCACUCUAAAUGUGGUGGUAGCUCUUAUAAAGUUUGUUGUUGUUUUAAUCAAAAGCCAACUGAACAGCAUAUAAAGACUGAUAAAUAUUCAGGCUGAGUAGUAUUUUAACGCUUGUCUUCAACUUGAUUUGUCUGUUUAAUUGAAAAGGGUUGUAAGAGUUACCGUUGCAUUUUCUGGCCUACUACCUUUAAAAUUCCUGUUGUGUUUCUUUGUAUUUACAAGGAAAGGUCUGAACUUUUUCUUGUCAAAACUAGCUUUUUUCCGACAAAUAAAUUAUCAGGUUAAACUUGCA